GAUGAACGCUCGCUACAGGCUUAACACAUGCAAGUCGAGGGGAAACGACAUCGAAAGCUUGCUUUUGAUGGGCGUCGACCGGCGCACGGGUGAGUAACGCGUAUCCAACCUGCCCAUCACUUGGGAAUAACCUUGCGAAAGUAAGACUAAUACCCAAUGACAUCCCACGAAGACAUCUGAAUGGGAUUAAAGAUUUAUCGGUGAUGGAUGGGGAUGCGUCUGAUUAGCUUGUUGGCGGGGUAACGGCCCACCAAGGCAACGAUCAGUAGGGGUUCUGAUAGGAAGGUCCCCCACAUUGGAACUGAGACACGGUCCAAACUCCUACGGGAGGCAGCAGUGAGGAAUAUUGGUCAAUGGGCGAGAGCCUGAACCAGCCAAGUAGCGUGCAGGAUGACGGCCCUAUGGGUUGUAAACUGCUUUUAUAAGGGAAUAAAGUGGGUCUCGUGAGACUUUUUGCAUGUACCUUAUGAAUAAGGACCGGCUAAUUCCGUG
rnacentral:rRNA from 1 species